CCGAGCGAUCCGAUCCCUGCAGGAAGGAGAGGCACAGGCAGGUGAGGAGCAGACGGCCGUGCAGGGAGUGAGAACAGGGACUGGUGUGUGAACUCCCCCGUGCUUUGGUGGUGUUUGCCCCAUGACAGCCAGAUGUUUCCCUGUGGGACAUGGCAGCCAGAUAUGCUGCCAGGCUGCAAUGCAUCGAGAUGUGACAGGCUGGUGUUGGAAGAACCUGUCUGGGUCUGAUGGAAGAGCUUGUGAUGGCACAGGACAUGGGGUACAUAGCCCAGGACCACCACGCCAGAGACUCUUGUGCUCCAGUGCAUGCAGCGAGGCCCAGGCUUCAAGUCCACAACCUCACAGCAAAACACAUCGCCCAUGAAGCUGGAGCAAGACGGUAAACUUCCUCCACAAGCACCCCAAGCCCUGGCUGGGGCCGGCUGGGCUUGGGCGAACCAAGGGAGAGCGGAGCUGGCGGAGCCUUGUGUUUGCCUGCGGGGUCCCAGGAGAGAAAGGCCUGAUCCUGACCUAGCUCGCGGCAGGAUCUGCUCCAGGAGUUUUCCUGCCUGGCACUUGGUCUCCAGCUCUGCCGUGUACAGCAGGUUCAGCAGCAGGUCCAGGCCCCCCUCCAGGCGGAUCACGU